CAUCUCAAAUUGCUCUGAUCCAGGCUGUCCACUUCCAAAUCCUCUAGCUAAUAAGGUAGGGGAACCACCAGCCUCAGCCUGGAAUAGUACAUAGAGCACACCAGAGAAAUUUUGCCGUGUGCAGAAUACUCGAGCGGGGUGGGGUGGGCACUGCAUAACUCCAGAGGGCAAAGGAAUAGUACAUAGAGCACACCAGAGAAAUUUUGCCGUGUGCAGAAUACUCGAGCGGGGUGCGGUGGGCACUGCAUAACUCCAGAGGCCAAACAUUUCGCAUGGGAUGCGCGCCCGUAUCCUUGGCCAGUGGCUUCAGCGUUUGUCCUCGCUUACACUUUCCCCUCUCCCUCCGGCGGCGGCGGACACCUUUCCCCUCUCUCUCUCCGGCGGCGGCGGGCACCUUUCCCCUCUCUCUCUCCGGCGGCGGCGGGCACCUUUCCAUCGCAUUUACAGACCCCACUCUGCUGUGCUGUCCCGGUCACCGCGUCGACUGCACGGCCCCCUUUUGCCACCGGCGUUUGCCCGUUCCUCAAUUCCACCGACAUCAUGGAAGGAGGUCCUCGAAGCCGCAGGGCUAAGCCCACGCCCAACGGCAAAGGUGUCUCUCCGAUGAGGGAUUCCUGUCUGGAGCUGAGCGGUAAAGGUGUCUCGUCGGAGAGGGAUUCUGGUCUGGAGCUGAGCAAGUCGCCUCCGCCGCCGCCCGCUCCAUGGUGGACUGAUCCUUCGGCGCCGGUGACCGGAGACCAUAGCUGGCUGAUCCUCGACCGCAUCGUCCACCGCAGCCGGAAGCGGUGCGGGGACGCUACGACCUCGGCGCUCGCCCACGAGUGCGUCGGCCGGCCGAUCCGUGCCUCCCUCCGGAUCGCGGACCCCCCCGCGGUGUCCCGUCUCUACGUCCACUGGACCAGCAUUCCAGCCAUUGACUGCAUGAAGGAGCCUGUCGUCAUCGCCGCCCACCACAACUCCAUUCUAUUCCGGGUGUCUGUCCCCUUCGACGAUCCCUGUUUCUGGAGCCGAAUGAUCUACUUUCCUGAUGAUUACUUUGUCUACUCGUCCUCCUCGUCGCCGCCGUCCCUUACUCGGCUUCCCCCUUGCUUCACCCGGGUUCCCCUUUGCUUCGGCGGUGGACGCACCGACCCCGAGUUGGAUAAGUGGUUACAACCGCACCGGCGCCAGCAACAGCGGACCAUGAUUGAAGAAGAUAUGGGCAUCCUCUGCCAUGGAGACAAGGGUGAAUUCACGGUGGCGGAUCUCACCUACCGUUUCAACCAGGAGGUCCAACUCUGCUUGCUGCACCAUCCCCCUUCUGCCUCUGAUGCUGAAAUGAAAUGGAGUGUUGAGAAGCUGCAGAUCCCUGCCGAUAUGAAGAUCAGCCUCUACUCGUUUAAGACUGAUGCCGUCGUCACUAUUGGCGAGAGGUGCUUGUGCUGGGUUGACUACUACCAUGGUAUGCUGCUCAUUGAUGUCCUCGCUGGCAGCAACAACAACAGCAGGCUCCGUUAUAUACCACUCCCAUCUAAGGCUUUGAAGACUGGCCGUGUGUACAAGGACGGUGAACCUGAUUCCUUUCGGCGUCUCAGUGUCUGUGAUGGUGGCAUCAUUAAGCUCGUCUGCAUUAUUACCAAAGAGCACCCUUCUCCUUAUCCCUUCACCAUAGAAACAUGGACUUUGGUUGAUAUCCACCAAGGUAGAUGGGAGAAGGAUGUCAACUUGACCAUGGGAGCCAGCGAGUUCUUCAAUCUUUACAACGACACUGCCAAGAGUCGCCUCCCACGAGUGAUGCCAAGUUUUCCUGUGGUGAGCUUGGUUGAUCCAGAUGUCAUUUGCUUCCGCCUCGAGGACAAGUUCCGUGACCCUUUCUGGAUGGUUCAAGUCAACAUGCGGAAUAAGUUGCUGCUGUCAAGUUCCAUCUAUAUCAACGAAGAAGAAGAAGAAGGAUACCCUCCUAAAAGGGACUGCAGGAACUAUUUCAUUUUUCAUGACUUCAUUGCCAGCAAGUUCUCCUCUUACUUGAGUGAAGACGCCAUCAAAAGUAAUACCGAUGCAACCCAGCUCCUUGGUGGCUUGGUACAAGGCUUCAAAAUAUCUGAAGUAAGCAAAUCUGCUAGCCUCUCAAAGUGAGCUGAGACCUGCAAACCUCAAAGUGGUGAAUAGCUACAACAUCUUCAGCAUUAUAUGGAUCAUCAUUGGCAGUAAGACCGAUGCAACCCUGCUCCUUGGUGGCUUGGUACAAGGCUUCAAAAUAUCUGAAUCGAGAAUUAAGUGAGACAAUGCACAAGGUGAAAGAGGCGAGCAUGGCACAAAAGUGUGAACAAGCGACAGAGUGAUUAGUUGAACGGAUGCCAAUCUUUUGAAGACGCCCACUGCUAAUUCUCUUGCUCGUGGGGUUGAUGUUUUUUUAAUGUGUUGUGCUUUCAAACAUCUGCCUUUAUCAUGUGUGAGAAACCUUAAUCGGUACUCAAACUUUGGCAUGAGAGCAUUUUUUGAAUGUGUUGUAAUGCACCCUCCAAGGAAGAAUUUGUGAUACUCUAUGCGAAUGCAGUCUGUUGCUCAUCGGUUUUUUUUAAUAUCCAAAUUACAUUGCGAACA